GCCAGCAGCCAUAUCACCCUGUAUAACACAUAACUGGCAACCCACUGAAGCUAUGCAGGUGUGAGCCUGGUCAGUACCUGGAUGGGAGACCUCCUAGGAAAAACUAAGGUCUCUGCUGGAA
rnacentral:rRNA from 1 species